UACUGAGUUACCGCUCUAUAACCCUUUGUGAACAUACCUACAACUGUUGCUUCGGCGGGUAGGCCGUCCCCUGAAAAGGACGCCUCCCGGCCCGGACCGGACCCCCCGCGGGACCGGACCCGGCGCCCGCCGGAGGAUAACCAAACUCUAUUGUAACGACGUUUCUUCUGAGUGGCAUAAGCAAAAUAAUCAAAACUUUUAACAACGGAUCUCUUGGUUCUGGCAUCGAUGAAGAACGCAGCGAAAUGCGAUAAGUAAUGUGAAUUGCAGAAUUCAGUGAAUCAUCGAAUCUUUGAACGCACAUUGCGCCCGCCAGCAUUCUGGCGGGCAUGCCUGUUCGAGCGUCAUUUCAACCCUCAAGCUCUGCUUGGUGUUGGGGCUCUACGGACGACGUAGGCCCUCAAAGGUAGUGGCGGACCCUCCCGGAGCCUCCUUUGCGUAGUAACAUUUCGUCUCGCACUGGGAUCCGGAGGGACUCUUGCCGUAAAACCCCCCAAUUUUCCAAAGGUUGACCUCGGAUCAGGUAGGAAUACCCGCUGAACUUAAGCAUAUCAAUAGGCGGAGGAA
rnacentral:rRNA from 1 species